rnacentral:rRNA from 1 species
AGUGAACGCUGGCGGUAGGCCUAACACAUGCAAGUCGAACGGCAGCACAGUAAGAGCUUGCUCUUAUGGGUGGCGAGUGGCGGACGGGUGAGGAAUACAUCGGAAUCUACUUUUUCGUGGGGGAUAACGUAGGGAAACUUACGCUAAUACCGCAUACGACCUACGGGUGAAAGCAGGGGAUCUUCGGACCUUGCGCGAUUGAAUGAGCCGAUGUCGGAUUAGCUAGUUGGCGGGGUAAAGGCCCACCAAGGCGACGAUCCGUAGCUGGUCUGAGAGGAUGAUCAGCCACACUGGAACUGAGACACGGUCCAGACUCCUACGGGAGGCAGCAGUGGGGAAUAUUGGACAAUGGGCGCAAGCCUGAUCCAGCCAUACCGCGUGGGUGAAGAAGGCCUUCGGGUUGUAAAGCCCUUUUGUUGGGAAAGAAAAGCAGCAGGUUAAUACCCCGCUGUUCUGACGGUACCCAAAGAACAAGCACCGGCUAACUUCGUG